rnacentral:rRNA from 1 species
UAGGGAAUCUUCCACAAUGGACGAAAGUCUGAUGGAGCAACGCCGCGUGAGUGAAGAAGGGUUUCGGCUCGUAAAACUCUGUUGUUAAAGAAGAACAUAUCUGAGAGUAACUGUUCAGGUAUUGACGGUAUUUAACCAGAAAGCCACGGCUAACUACGUGUCAGCAGC